CCAGACUCCUACGGGAGGCAGCAGUGGGGGAUAUUGCACAAUGGGGGAAACCCUGAUGCAGCGACACCGCGUGGGUGAAGAAGCGCUUCGGCGUGUAAAGCCCUAUCAGUGGGGAAGAAAAAGGACGGUACCCAAAGAAGAAGCACCGGCUAAAUACGUGCCAGCAGCCGCGGUAAUACGUAUGGUGCAAGCGUUAUCCGGAUUCACUGGGUGUAAAGGGAGCGUAGACGGCGACGCAAGUCUGGAGUGAAAGCCCGGGGCCCAACCCCGGGACUGCUCUGGAAACUGCGGCGCUGGAGUACGGGAGGGGCAGGCGGAAUUCCUGGUGUAGCGGUGAAAUGCGUAGAUAUCAGGAGGAACACCGGCGGCGAAGGCGGCCUGCUGGACCGUGACUGACGUUGAGGCUCGAGAGCGUGGGGAGCAAACAGGAUUAGAUACCCUUGUAC
rnacentral:rRNA from 1 species